rnacentral:rRNA from 1 species
ACGAACGCUGGCGGCGUGCUUAACACAUGCAAGUCGAGCGGUAAGGCCCUUCGGGGUACACGAGCGGCGAACGGGUGAGUAACACGUGGGUGACCUGCCUCUAGCUCUGGGAUAAGCCUGGGAAACUGGGUCUAAUACCGGAUAUGACUCCACGGCGCAUGUUGUGGGGUGGAAAGCCUUGUGUGGCUAGAGAUGGGCCCGCGGCCUAUCAGCUUGUUGGUGGGGUGANGGCCUACCAAGGCGACGACGGGUAGCCGGCCUGAGAGGGCGACCGGCCACACUGGGACUGAGACACGGCCCAGACUCCUACGGGAGGCAGCAGUGGGGAAUCUUGCGCAAUGGGCGAAAGCCUGACGCAGCGACGCCGCGUGAGGGAUGACGGCCU